AGAGUUUGAUCCUGGCUCAGGACGAACGCUGGCGGCGUGCUUAACACAUGCAAGUCGAACGAGGUUCAGUCGGUAGCAAUACCGACGAAGACCUAGUGGCGAACGGGUGCGUAACACGUGAGGAACUUGUCCCGGUCUCUGGGAUAACAGUUGGAAACGACUGCUAAUACCGGAUGACGUCGGAGCGUCGCAUGGCGCGCUGACGAAAGGGUUACUGGAUCGGGAGAGCCUCGCGGCCUAUCAGCUUGUUGGUGGGGUAACGGCCUACCAAGGCAUCGACGGGUAGCUGGUCUGAGAGGAUGAUCAGCCACACUGGGACUGAGACACGGCCCAGACUCCUACGGGAGGCAGCAGUGGGGAAUCUUGCGCAAUGGGCGAAAGCCUGACGCAGCAACGCCGCGUGCGGGAAGAAGGCUCUCGGGUUGUAAACCGCUUUCAGAAGGAACGAAACUGACGGUACUUUCAGAAGAAGGUGCGGCCAACUACGUGCCAGCAGCCGCGGUG
rnacentral:rRNA from 1 species